UACGUAGGCAGCGAGCGUUGUUCGGAGUUACUGGGCGUAAAGCGUGCGUAGGCGGUGCCAUAAGUCUGUUGUGAAAUCUCCCGGCUCAACUGGGAGGGUGCGGUGGAAACUGUGGUGCUGGAGUGUGGGAGAGGUAGGCGGAAUUCCUGGUGUAGCGGCGAAAUGCGUAGAUAUCAGGAGGAACACCUGCGGUGUAGACGGCUUACUGGACCACGACUGACGCUGAGGCACGAAAGCGUGGGGAGCAAACAGG
rnacentral:rRNA from 1 species